GCAAGUCUGGUGCCAGCAGCCGCGGUAAUUCCAGCUCCAAUAGCGUAUAUUAAAGUUGUUGCAGUUAAAAAGCUCGUAGUUGAACUUUGGGUCUGUUUGGCCGGUCCGAUUUUUUCGUGUACUGGAAUCCCAAGCGGACCUUUCCUUCUGGCUAACCUUGGGUCCUUGUGGCUCUUGGCGAACCAGGAUUUUUACUUUGAAAAAAUUAGAGUGUUCAAAGCAGGCGUAUUGCUCGAAUAUAUUAGCAUGGAAUAAUAGAAUAGGACGUUUGGUUCUAUUUUGUUGGUUUCUAGGACCAUCGUAAUGAUUAAUAGGGACGGUCGGGGGCAUCAGUAUUCAAUUGUCAGAGGUGAAAUUCUUGGAUUUUUUGAAGACUAACUACUGCGAAAGCAUUUGCCAA
rnacentral:rRNA from 1 species